AUGGCUCAGUGGUUAGAGCUUCUGGCUUGCAAUCAUAAGGUAGUGAGUUUGAUUCUCAGUU
rnacentral:tRNA from 1 species